rnacentral:rRNA from 1 species
UUGGCGGCGUGGAUUAGGCAUGCAAGUCGUGCGCGAUUCUAUGGAUUGAAGCUUCGGCUGAUUGAAAUAGUUGAAAGCGGCGAAAGGGAGAGUAACGCGUGGAUAUCUGCCCUCGGCUCCGGGAUAGCUACGGGAAACUGUAGGUAAUACUGGAUAAUAUCUCCGGAUCAAAGGUGUGAUUCCGGCUGAGGAUGAGUCCGCGUCCUAUUAGGUUGUUGGUGGGGUAAUGGCCUACCAAGCCGAAGAUGGGUACCGGGUGUGAGAGCAUGGCCCGGCUCACUGGGACUGAGACACUGCCCAGACGUCUACGGACGGCUGCAGUCGAGAAUCUUCCGCAAUGGGCGCAAGCCUGACGGAGCGACGCCGCGUGCGGGAUGAAGGCCUUCGGGUUGUAAACCGCUGUCAGUUGGGAGGAAAUGCUAUGGGGUUCUCUCCAUAGUUUGACCGAUCUUCAGAGGAAGUACGGGCUAAGUACGUGCCAGCAGCCGCGGUAACACGUACCGUACGAACGUUAUUCGGAAUCACUGGGCUUAAAGAGUCCGUAGGCGGCUUAAAAGGUGAGGUGUGAAAUCCCACGGCUCAACCGUGGAACUGCGCUUCAAACCAUUAAGCUAGAGGGAGAUAGAGGUGAGCGGAACUGAUGGUGGAGCGGUGAAAUGCGUUGAUAUCAUCAGGAACACCGGUGGCGAAAGCGGCUCACUGGGUCUCUUCUGACGCUGAGGGGACGAAAGCUAGGGGAGCGAACGGGAUUAGAUACCCCGGUAGUCCUAGCUGUAAACGAUGA